GACGAACGCUGGCGGCGUGCUUAACACAUGCAAGUCGAACGGAAAGGCCCUGCUUGCAGGGUGCUCGAGUGGCGAACGGGUGAGUAACACGUGGGUGAUCUGCCCCUUACUUUGGGAUAAGCCUGGGAAACUGGGUCUAAUACUGGAUAGGACCAUGCUGUAGGUGGUGUGGUGGAAAGAUUAGUUUCGGAAGGGAUGAGCUCGCGGCCUAUCAGCUUGUUGGUGGGGUAAUGGCCUACCAAGGCGUCGACGGGUAGCCGGCCUGAGAGGGUGGACGGCCACAUUGGGACUGAGAUACGGCCCAGACUCCUACGGGAGGCAGCAGUGGGGAAUAUUGCACAAUGGGCGCAAGCCUGAUGCAGCGACGCCGCGUGGGGGAUGACGGCCUUCGGGUUGUAAACUCCUUUCAGCCAUGACGAAGCCCUUGUGGUGACGGUAGUGGUAGAAGAAGCACCGGCUAACUACGU
rnacentral:rRNA from 1 species